rnacentral:rRNA from 3 species
AAAUUGAAGAGUUUGAUCAUGGCUCAGAUUGAACGCUGGCGGCAGGCCUAACACAUGCAAGUCGAGCGGUAGCACAGAGAGCUUGCUCUCGGGUGACGAGCGGCGGACGGGUGAGUAAUGUCUGGGAAACUGCCUGAUGGAGGGGGAUAACUACUGGAAACGGUAGCUAAUACCGCAUAAUGUCGCAAGACCAAAGUGGGGGACCUUCGGGCCUCAUGCCAUCAGAUGUGCCCAGAUGGGAUUAGCUAGUAGGUGGGGUAACGGCUCACCUAGGCGACGAUCCCUAGCUGGUCUGAGAGGAUGACCAGCCACACUGGAACUGAGACACGGUCCAGACUCCUACGGGAGGCAGCAGUGGGGAAUAUUGCACAAUGGGCGCAAGCCUGAUGCAGCCAUGCCGCGUGUGUGAAGAAGGCCUUCGGGUUGUAAAGCACUUUCAGCGGGGAGGAAGGCGAUAAGGUUAAUAACCUUGUCGAUUGACGUUACCCGCAGAAGAAGCACCGGCUAACUCCGUGCCAGCAGCCGCGGUAAUACGGAGGGUGCAAGCGUUAAUCGGAAUUACUGGGCGUAAAGCGCACGCAGGCGGUCUGUCAAGUCGGAUGUGAAAUCCCCGGGCUCAACCUGGGAACUGCAUUCGAAACUGGCAGGCUAGAGUCUUGUAGAGGGGGGUAGAAUUCCAGGUGUAGCGGUGAAAUGCGUAGAGAUCUGGAGGAAUACCGGUGGCGAAGGCGGCCCCCUGGACAAAGACUGACGCUCAGGUGCGAAAGCGUGGGGAGCAAACAGGAUUAGAUACCCUGGUAGUCCACGCCGUAAACGAUGUCGAUUUGGAGGUUGUGCCCUUGAGGCGUGGCUUCCGGAGCUAACGCGUUAAAUCGACCGCCUGGGGAGUACGGCCGCAAGGUUAAAACUCAAAUGAAUUGACGGGGGCCCGCACAAGCGGUGGAGCAUGUGGUUUAAUUCGAUGCAACGCGAAGAACCUUACCUGGUCUUGACAUCCACAGAACUUUCCAGAGAUGGAUUGGUGCCUUCGGGAACUGUGAGACAGGUGCUGCAUGGCUGUCGUCAGCUCGUGUUGUGAAAUGUUGGGUUAAGUCCCGCAACGAGCGCAACCCUUAUCCUUUGUUGCCAGCGGUUCGGCCGGGAACUCAAAGGAGACUGCCAGUGAUAAACUGGAGGAAGGUGGGGAUGACGUCAAGUCAUCAUGGCCCUUACGACCAGGGCUACACACGUGCUACAAUGGCAUAUACAAAGAGAAGCGACCUCGCGAGAGCAAGCGGACCUCAUAAAGUAUGUCGUAGUCCGGAUUGGAGUCUGCAACUCGACUCCAUGAAGUCGGAAUCGCUAGUAAUCGUAGAUCAGAAUGCUACGGUGAAUACGUUCCCGGGCCUUGUACACACCGCCCGUCACACCAUGGGAGUGGGUUGCAAAAGAAGUAGGUAGCUUAACCUUCGGGAGGGCGCUUACCACUUUGUGAUUCAUGACUGGGGUGAAGUCGUAACAAGGUAACCGUAGGGGAACCUGCGGUUGGAUCACCUCCUUACCUUAAAGAA